AAAACAAAAAUAGAAUAAAGAAAGUCAGAGAAUGUUAAUUAUAU
rnacentral:guide_RNA from 1 species